GACGAAGGGGGCUAGCGUUGUUCGGAAUUACUGGGCGUAAAGCGCGUGUAGGCGGUUGCCCAAGUCGGGUGUGAAAGCCUUGAGCUCAACUCAAGAAAUGCACUCGGUACUGGGUGACUAGAGGACCGGAGAGGAUAGUGGAAUUCCCAGUGUAGUGGUGAAAUACGUAGAGAUUGGGAAGAACACCAGUGGCGAAGGCGGCUAUCUGGACGGUUUCUGACGCUAAGACGCGAAAGCGUGGGGAGCAAACAG
rnacentral:rRNA from 1 species